GAUGAACGCUAGCGGGAGGCUUAACACAUGCAAGUCGAGGGGCAGCAUAGGGUAGCAAUACUCUGAUGGCGACCGGCAAACGGGUGAGUAACGCGUAUGUAACCUACCCUGUACAGGGGGAUAACCCGGAGAAAUUCGGACUAAUAUCCCAUAACAAUAUCCGGGGGCAUCUUUGGAUAUUUAAAGUUCCGGCGGUACGGGAUGGGCAUGCGUAACAUUAGCUAGUUGGUAAGGUAACGGCUUACCAAGGCUUUGAUGUUUAGGGGUCCUGAGAGGGUGGUCCCCCACACUGGUACUGAGACACGGACCAGACUCCUACGGGAGGCAGCAGUGAGGAAUAUUGGUCAAUGGGCGCAAGCCUGAACCAGCCAUCCCGCGUGCAGGAAGACGGCGCUAUGCGUUGUAAACUGCUUUUCCAGGGAGAGAAACUUGCGCACGUGUUGCGCAAUUGACGGUACCCUGGGAAUAAGCAUCGGCUAACUCCGUGCCAGCAGCCGCGUAAUCUAGUCUACG
rnacentral:rRNA from 1 species